rnacentral:rRNA from 1 species
GACGAACGCUGGCGGCGUGCUUAACACAUGCAAGUCGAACGGUGAAGCGCCUUCCUUGUUGGUGGGUGUGGAGGAGUGGAGAACGGGUGAGUAACACGUGAGUAACCUGCUCCCUCCUUCAGGACAACCGCAAGAAAGUGUGGCUAAUACGGGAUAUACUGGGUCUGACGCAUGAUGGGUCUGGGACAGAUUUUGUUUCGGUGGGGGAUGGGCUCGCGGCUUAUCAGCUUGUUGGUGGGGUGAUGGCCUACCAAGGCGAUGACGGGUAGCCGGCCUGAGAGGGUCGACGGCCCCACUGCGGCGGCGCGGCCGCGCCUCCUCCGACGGGCGGCAGCAGUGGGUAUUCCUGAACGGGGGGAGGAAUGCCGGUGCAGCGACGCGUCGGGAGUGAUGGUCUCCGUCGGGUUGUGAUCUUCUUUCGGCAGUGAACCAGGCCUGCCUCGUUUGUGGGUGGGUUGACGGUAGCUGGACAAGAAGCGCCGGCUAACUACGUG